UACGUAGGGGGCAAGCGUUGUCCGGAUUUAUUGGGCGUAAAGGGCGCGUAGGCGGUUUCUUAAGUUUGGAGUGACAGUGGGUGGCUUAACUACCCAAGGCCUCUGAAAACUGGGGAGCUUGAGGACCAGAGAGAGACAUAGAAUUCCGGGUGGAGUGGUGAAAUGCGUAGAUAUCCGGAGGAAUACCAGAGGCGAAGGCAGUGUCCUGGAGGGUGACUGACGCUGAGGCGCGAAAGCUAGGGGAGCGAACAGG
rnacentral:rRNA from 1 species